rnacentral:rRNA from 1 species
CCCUUAGAUGUUCUGGGCCGCACGCGCGCUACACUGACGAUGGCAACGAGUUUUUCCUUCGCCGAAAGGUGUGGGUAAUCUUUUGAAACAUCGUCGUGCUGGGGAUAGAUCAUUGCAAUUUUUGAUCUUGAACGAGGAAUUCCUAGUAAGCGCGAGUCAUCAGCUCGCGUUGAUUACGUCCCUGCCCUUUGUACACACCGCCCGUCGCUACUACCGAUUGAAUGGUUUAGUGAGGACUCCUGAUUGGCGCCGCCGCCCCGGCAACGGAGCAGCGGACUGCCGAAAAGUUGUUCAAACUUGAUCAUUUAGAGGAAGUAAAAGUCGUAAUA